rnacentral:misc_RNA from 1 species
UACGGAGGGUGCGAGCGUUAAUCGGAAUUACUGGGCGUAAAGCGCACGUAGGCGGAUUGUUAAGCAAGACGUGAAAGCCCAGGGCUCAACCUUGGAAUUGCAUUUUGAACUGGCAAGCUAGAGUUUCGAAGAGGGUGGUAGAAUUUCCAGUGUAGCGGUGAAAUGCGUAGAGAUUGGAAGGAAUACCAAUGGCGAAGGCGGCCACCUGGUCAAAAACUGACGCUGAGGUGCGAAAGCGUGGGGAGCAAACAGG